AUUCAUUGCGUGAUUCUUGGUUCUAGUGCACAGGAUUCCUUGCUAGGGAGUGUCCUUCGGUCACCCAUCUUCUAGGAAAUCCAUGCUAAACAAGAAUUCUCUCUUCUCUUAUGCUCGUUGGGCCUGGAGGUUAUGGAUCAACCUUAGAUCAACUGGCCAGAAUGAGGAGAGACAAAGCCAGGAUGAGGAGCCUGGUGUGGAGAGAGGAAGAUUAUGCCUGAGCUAACAUCUGUGCCAAUCUUCCUCCAUUUCCUUUUUUUGGAUGUGGGAUGCCAUCACAGCAUAGCUUCAUGAGCAGUGUAUAAGUCCAUGCCUGUGAACCCUGGGCCAUCAAAGUGGAGUGUGCAAACUUAACCGCUAUGCCACCGGGCUGACCCGAGAGUAUACCCAUCUUAAUCAUGAGAAAACUCCAAGUGAAGAGAAUGGCUCUCAACUAUAAGGAUAGAAAAUUAAGCCUCGGGUUCUGGAAGCUGUCAGAAAAUCAUCAGCGUACCCAGCCUCGCACACGAAAGAGAUGAGAUUGGGGCACCAGCUACAGCAGAUACUUGAAAAUUCCAGGCUGUGCUUAUCUGACCUGACAUUGACCUCUUGUCAAAGGCAGCUUUGUUUCCUUGGUGGUUAGUUUUAUGCCAGAAAAUACUUCUGUUUUGUAAAUGACCGGCCAGUCCUGCUGGGCAGAGCAGGGCUCCUGGCGUCGUGGUUGAGGGAGAUGGCCCAGAAUCUUGAAUGGAACUGAGGACAGGACUGACAAAGAGGAGGUGGCUUCUGAGAGCUCUUGGGUCUCCCACAGAAGAUGGUCUCAGUGACAUCUAUCUGUCCAUGUGAUGGAAGAGGCACAGCCACACUAUCCGAGCAAGGGCGUGAUCAUGGCAUCUCACCAAGGACACGUUUCCCUCAGAGGAAGGAAACCAGGAGCCCCUUCAGGCCAGAUAAUCCAGCCUGAUGUGUCAGGGCCGGGCCCCUCUGCAGGCACAGGGGCACCAGGAUGGAUCCUCUGUGCCUGUAGGCAGAUCUGGAACAAGAACCAGGAAGAGCUGAGCCCUGCAGGCCCAGAUCCUUCUCCCAGGAUAUCAACCAGACAACUGACUUCCUCUCUUCCUCCCAAGAGGAUGAAUGGCGGCUGAGGGGGUGACCUUAGAAGAGGUUCCUGCUCACGAAAGUGCAAACCUAGGGGGAACCCCCCCAACAAGUUCUAUGCAGACAGAAAACAACAACUAGAAUCUGCAGUCAUUGCACUGUAAGGCUUCGCUCAUCUCUGAGUGUACCAUGAACUUCCAGGAUGUGCACUGGUGGUACCGGGGUCACCAGGCUUGGUUUUCCAGGCCCAGAGAGGCCUAUGCACUGCAACAGUGCAGCACGAGUAAUGGAAUCAGGAGAAGUGUCUAUGCAGGUAAAAAGGGCACCCCCAACCUCCCUGUACCUUGUGUGCUUCUUGAGUAUUCGUCUUACCUCCAGACAGGAAUAGUUGCUCCUAGAGAGCAGGACACAUGCACAGCCCUUCUCAGAAUUGGCCCUGUUCCUCUUCAGUUUGAUUCACUCAUGGCAUAGGAACUUGGUCCCCAUCCACCCCCAUGUGACUGAAAGCUGUCAGGUCUAGAGAACAACUGAGACUGUUCCUGUCAGUCCUGAUCUUGGAGACUAUUGCAAUCAGUAAAUCCCACCAUUGGAAGGUGGCCUUGUGUAAACUACCCCCAUGAAAAUUUCCUUCAAAGAGAUGAGGGGCUGUGGGUGGGGGAAGUGGGCAAAGGUGGUCAAAAGGUACGAACUUCCAGUUAUCAGAUAAACAAGUCCUGGGAUGUAACGUCCAGCAUGGUGACUCUAGCUUAUAAUACUGUGUUGUGUAUUUGAAAGGUACUAAGAGAGUAGAUCCUAAAAGUUCUCAUCACAAGAAAAAGAUUGUAUUGAUGCGAGGUGAUGGAUGUUAACCCAACUUAUUGUGGUGAUCAUUUUAUAAUAUAUACAUACAUCAAACCAGUAUGUUGUACAUCUAGAACUAAUAAAACGUUGUAUGUCAAUUAUAUCUCAAUAAAACUGGAAAAGUUUUUCAAAAAUUCCCUCAACAAUCCCUUUCAGAUAGUUGUUUGUAUCGCUUCUCUUUUCCACAACCUCCUUUAGUAACCGCACUGAAUCCCGAAUUGGUUUUGUGACUGUAAUCUCAAUUGGCUGGCUGCUGUGUGGCAGGAUCGUGUUUAAUUUGAUUUUAAGCUUAACUGAUGCCUUACUUCUUUUCAAAUGUCUGUGGUGGUACAAAUCCUCCUAAACUAUGUUGCAGGAUUUUAGGUUCUCCUUGCCUCGCCACUGUGGGGGAAUUACUCUGAGACAGGUCCAGGCUAACUGGGUGGGUUGAAUAUGCAGAUGUUUGCUGGGGUUGCAGCAGGAAGCCAGGUGGAGAACAUGGAAGGGCAGCUCCAGGUUGCUGAGUCACGGGCAAGAAGAGGAGAGGGCAGAGCUGGGAAGAGCUUCCCAUUAGGGCCCAGAGUGAGGAAUAGAAAGCAGUCAGGGGCAGAUAGGGAGCGAGGAUGCUCAAGCACCAAUUGAAUCCUCUUCACUUACCCAAGUUGCAGGGGAAUCAUUAGUCUUCAGCUGUCUGCCUGUCUGCUUCCCUUUUUUUUUUUUUUUGCUGGGGAAGACUUGCCAGCAUGGCCACUGACAGACAGAGUGGUGUAGUUCCAGCCCAGGAACGAAGCCAAGCUGCCAAAGUGGAGCAUGUUGAUCUUUAACCACUAGGCCACUGGGGCUGGCCUUCUGCUUCCUUUUAAGAUCCUGCAUCCUGCUAUAUAAGCACAGGAAUCUAGACACAACUAAGGGCCUUGCAGCACCCAACAGAAUGUUCUGAAACUAAUUGUCCUACAUGGAAAGACCUUACAAAUACUUAUAUUAAUUACUUCUGUGAAGUACUUCUAUGUACAUAAAAAUGGCAGUAAAAUAUUAAAUGCAGAAGAUCACCAAGAAUAUAGAUGGAAUGAAAAUCGAAUGACAUCCAACUAAUGGAAAGUUUAGUGUAAUAG
rnacentral:lncRNA from 1 species